rnacentral:tRNA from 1 species
GCGGGUGUAGUAUAGUGGUAAUACACCACCUUGCCAUGGUGGAGCCGAGGGUUCAAUUCCCUUCACCCGCU